GAUUCAUCUCGGGGCUCAUUGUAGCCUUUCUCUACAAUAUCUCAAAUAUCAUGUGCACCUAGGAGAGCCUUCUUCUUGAUACUCUAAUUAUCAUAGUUGCUCUUGUUGAGCAUAGGAACUUGGAAGGAUGCAACACCAUUUACCAUGGUUUUAGAAAUUUUUGGUUAGAAUCUUGUGGCUCUGAUACCACUUUGUUGGAAGAGGAUUGCUAUUAAUAUUUGGAGGGAGGCUUUUAGGCUAAGNNN
rnacentral:lncRNA from 1 species